rnacentral:rRNA from 1 species
UGGGGAAUAUUGCGCAAUGGGGGGAACCCUGACGCAGCAACGCCGCGUGAAUGAAGAAGGCUUUCGAGUCGUAAAAUUCUGUCCUCAGGGAAGAAGAAGUGACGGUACCUGAGGAGGAAGCCCCGGCUAACUACGUGCCAGCAGCCGCGGUAAUACGUAGGGGGCAAGCGUUGUCCGGAAUCACUGGGCGUAAAGGGCGCGUAGGCGGUAUAUUAAGUCAGGUGUGAAAGUUUUCGGCUCAACCGGAAAAGUGCACUUGAAACUAAUAGACUUGAGUACUGGAGAGGUAAGCGGAAUUCCUAGUGUAGCGGUGAAAUGCGUAGAUAUUAGGAGGAACACCGGUGGCGAAGGCGGCUUACUGGACAGAGACUGACGCUGAGGCGCGAAAGCGUGGGGAGCAAACAGG